UAUCACAGGCCACUACAUUCCUUUUCAGAAAAUUAGAUGAUCACAUCAUGAUAAUUAACACGCAAUUAUUUUCUCCUUGCUACCUGCAGACGGGCCAGUGUGGGUUAAAGUCCCUUCAGGAAGACUAGACGUUCUUGAAGGAAGCGAUCUUGUUCUUACAGCUGUGGCCGCCGCUAACCCUCCAACAGUCAGCUACAGUUGGUGGCGCGGCCCGGAAAUGAUCGUUGGCGAAGGGAUCAGCGAAGACGGAUCCGGGGCGCUUCGGCUGAGCAGGAUCCAUCGCGACCAAGAAGGAAAUUAUUCCGUUUCCGCGCACACGUCGCGAGGGACGGCGCACUCCAACUUCUUUAUCAAUGUGCAGUACGGACCUGAAGACGUUGUAGCAGCCACGAGGGUUACCCUGGACAAAGGAGGAACAACAUCCGUCAUCUGUUCCGCCAAAGGAAACCCAACGCCGAACAUCACCUGGACCAGAAGCAACGAUAA